CCUACGGGUGGCAGCAGUGGGGAAUAUUGCACACUGGGGGAAACCCUGAUGCAGCAACGUCGCGUGAGUGAGGAAGUCUCUCGGUAUGUAAAGCUCUAUCAGCAGGGAAUAGAAAAGAAGGUACCUGAAAAAGAAGCCCCGGCUAACUACGUGCCAGCAGCCGCGGUAAUACGUAGGGGGCAAACGUUAUCCGGAUUUACUGGGUGUAAAGGGAGCGUAGACGGAAAGGCAAGUCAGAGGUGAAAACGCAAGGCUCAACCAUGGUACUGCUUUUGAAACUGUCAAACUAGAGUACGGGAGAGGUAAGAGGAAUGCGUGGUGUAGCGGUGAAAUGCAUAGAUAUUAGGAGGAACACCAGUGGCGAAGGCGUCUUACUGGACCGAAACUGACGUUGAGGCACGAAAGCGUGGGGAGCAAACAGGAUUAGAUACCCCUGUAGUC
rnacentral:rRNA from 1 species